rnacentral:rRNA from 1 species
CCGCCUGCCCAGUGACAACUAGUUCAACGGCCGCGGUAUUUUGACCGUGCAAAGGUAGCGUAAUCACUUGUCUUUUAAAUGAAGACCUGUAUGAAUGGCAUAACGAGGGCUUAGCUGUCUCCUCUAUCCAGUCAAUGAAAUUGAUCUCCCCGUGCAGAAGCGGGGGUAAAACCAUAAGACGAGAAGACCCUAUGGAGCUUUAGACACUAAGGCAGAUCACGUUAAACAACUCCCAAUAAAGAACAAAACUGAAUGAGUCCUGCUUAAAUGUCUUCGGUUGGGGCGACCAUGGGGAAAUAAAAAACCCCCACGUGGACUGGGAGCACUCCCAAAACUGAGAGCUACCGCUCUAAUUAACAGAAAUUCUGACCAAAAAUGAUCCGGCAACGCCGAUCAACGGACCAAGUUACCCUAGGGAUAACAGCGCAAUCCCCUUUUAGAGCCCAUAUCGACAAGGGGGUUUACGACCUCGAUGUUGGAUCAGGACAUCCUAAUGGUGCAG